rnacentral:rRNA from 1 species
GGAUCAKCAGGUUGGUCGUGCCAAUGGUAUGUACUGGCCUYGSUGGURCCUCCCUCUUGAWGARCCGUAAUGCCAUUAAUUUGGUGUUGCGGGGAAUCAGGACUGUUACUUUGAAAAAAUUAGAGUGUUUAAAGCAGGCAARCGCUUGAAUACAUUAGCAUGGAAUAAUGAAAUAGGACGUUUGAUCCUAUUUUGUUGGUUUCUAGGAUUGACGUA